AAUGAACGCUGGCGGCAGGCCUAACACAUGCAAGUCGAACGAGGUAGCAAUACCUAGUGGCGGACGGGGUGAGUAACACGUGGGAACGUACCCUUUGCUACGGAAUAGCCCUGGGAAACUGGGAGUAAUACCGUAUGAGCCCGAGAGGGGAAAGAUUUAUCGGCAAAGGAUCGGCCCGCGUUGGAUUAGGUAGUUGGUGGGGUAAUGGCCUACCAAGCCGACGAUCCAUAGCUGGUCUGAGAGGAUGAUCAGCCACACUGGGACUGAGACACGGCCCAGACUCCUACGGGAGGCAGCAGUGGGGAAUCUUAGACAAUGGGGGAAACCCUGAUCUAGCCAUGCCGCGUGAUCGAUGAAGGCCUUAGGGUUGUAAGAUCUUUCAGGUGGGAAGAUAAUGACUGUACCACCAGAAGAAGCCCCGGCUAACUCC
rnacentral:rRNA from 1 species